rnacentral:tRNA from 1 species
GCCCUUGUAGUAUAAAAUAAUACACCGGUCUUGUAAACCGGAAACGGAGAUUCUUCUCCCCAGGACA